UAAUACUUUCACAACAAUUAUUAUCAAAGUUAUGCUUAAUUAUUUCAAAAUAAAUCUACUGAGUCCAACUAAGCUUAUUGUUAAGCGUCUUUCAUAGCUGUCUUUUGUUUUACCAUAGCAAUGGAAAGGGCAGUAAAGUAGAAUAAACUCUAUUGUUAAGUCGCCAAAAAAGACAUUGUCUCUAAUUCAAUAUGAACGAAGUACACAACUUUGUUUUUUAAGGCUACCGACUCAAAGCUACAGUUUUUUUGCCGUACAGUUUGACAUUGAAGAUUUUUGAAGUGAAAACUUCUUUAGAAUCGUUGUGAUUUCAAACCGGAUGCAACGGAAAAAACGACAGAAAUUCCAGGAAAUAUAGAGUUUGGAUUUCUAUGAUUAAAGGCUCUGCACGACCUGACUGUGCAAAAGGAACGCAUAAAACUUUUAUAAUAGUCAUAAAAACGAAACGCUGCAGCGCUGCACAGAUCGGAUUUUAAUAAGAACUAACUUAGAUUGGAGUUGAGAACGCCUGAAUGUACAAUGGACUUCAAAAGUGCAUGAAUAAAAAAACAAAAUGAGUGAAACACACCAAAAAAUAUUGCACACUAAUAAUAUUUUUUUUCAUUUUUA